rnacentral:rRNA from 1 species
ACAACUAGUCAGAGCCCGUUAACGGGUGAUGGCGUGCCUUUUGUAGAAUGAACCGGCGAGUUACGGUAUCGUGCAAGGUUAAGCUGAUGAAGCGGAGCCGCAGCGAAAGCGAGUCUGAAUAGGGCGCAUUAGUACGAUGCCGUAGACCCGAAACCGGGUGAUCUACCCAUGUCCAGGGUGAAGGUCGGGUAACACCGACUGGAGGCCCGAACCCACGCAAGUUGAAAAUUGCGGGGAUGAGGUGUGGGUAGGGGU